UCUAUAUAAAAUUCUGUAAAUACAUAUACAGCAAGUUAACUUGUGCUGUAAAUGUAAACACUGAAGCUAAGCAGGGCUGUGCUCGGUCAGUACCUGGAUGGGAGACCACAUGGGAAAGCUAUGUUUCUGCCAGAA
rnacentral:rRNA from 1 species